CCCCACCAGCCUCGGCGCAUCCCGCCGCCGCCCGCAGCCCGCCCCGAGAUCCAACCUCCCACCACCGCCGCCGCAGCGGCACUCAAGUCGCCGCCGGUAAACCGCUCCAAGAUCCGACGACCUCCCAGCGCCGUGCCCGCUGCAGCGGCACACCCGCGGCGGAUCCAGUCGCCAAGAGACGUGCCCAGCAACGGAGCCGCCGCCGCCGCCGCAGCAGCAGCGGGCGGAUACUCGGCGGCGGCGGUGGCAGCAGCGGGGAGGAGGAGGAGGAGGGCGGAGCCGAGCGGAGAGGAGGAGGAAAUGAGCCGAGUGACGGAGGAGGUACCCGUCGAGCAUGAAGCGGGGAGCCGCGGCGGCGCGAGGGUUCAGCGGGAGCAGCAGCUCCUGCUGGUGGCAGUCGCCGCCGUCGCCGUGGUGGUGGUGGUGGUGGUGGUGGUGCGCGAGGGCGACGGCGGAGUAUGAGCUGUACAUGGCCGGUCGCCGCCGGUCGCCGGAGAGCGGAGAGUAUGAGUUGGGGGAGGAGAGAGAGUGAGAGACUGGGGGUGGUGGG
rnacentral:lncRNA from 1 species